rnacentral:snRNA from 12 species
AGCUUUGCGCAGUGGUAGUAUCAUAGCCAAUGAGGUUUAUCCGAGGCGCGAUUAUUGCUAAUUGAAAACUUUUCCCAAUAAAAUAAUAUUAUAUUAAAGCAUACUUUAAUAUAAGAUUAUUUUGUGUAGUAAUAGCAACAAG